AACGUAGGACACAAGCGUUAUCCGGAGUUACUGGGCGUAAAGGGCGUGUAGGCGGACCUAUAAGUCUAUUCUGAAAGCUCCUGGCUAAACUGGGAGAGGCGAAUGGAGACUGUAGAUCUAGAGUGAGGAAGAGGAAAGUGGAAUUCCGCGUGUAGUGGUGAAAUGCGUAGAGAUCGGAAAGAACACCAACGGCGAAAGCACUCUGCUGGGCCGAACACUGACACUGGAGAGACGAAAAGCUAGGGGGAGCGAAAUGGG
rnacentral:rRNA from 1 species